rnacentral:rRNA from 1 species
UACGGGGGGGGCAAGCGUUGUUCGGAAUUACUGGGCGUAAAGGGCUCGUAGGUGGCCAACUAAGUCAGACGUGAAAUCCCUCGGCUUAACCGGGGGAACUGCGUCUGAUACUGGAUGGCUUGAGUUCGGGAGAGGGAUGCGGAAUUCCAGGUGUAGCGGUGAAAUGCGUAGAUAUCUGGAGGAACACCGGUGGCGAAGGCGGCAUCCUGGACCGACACUGACGCUGAGGAGCGAAAGCCAGGGGAGCAAACGGG